GAUGAACGCUAGCGGCAGGCCUAACACAUGCAAGUCGAGGGGUAGAAGGAGCUUGCUCCUUUGAGACCGGCGCACGGGUGCGUAACGCGUAUGCAAUCUACCUUUUACAGAGGGAUAGCCCAGAGAAAUUUGGAUUAAUACCUCAUAGUACAUAUCAUUCGCAUGUUUGGUAUAUUAAAGUUCCAACGGUAAAAGAUGAGCAUGCGUCCCAUUAGUUAGUUGGUAAGGUAACGGCUUACCAAGACGAUGAUGGGUAGGGGUCCUGAGAGGGAGAUCCCCCACACUGGUACUGAGACACGGACCAGACUCCUACGGGAGGCAGCAGUGAGGAAUAUUGGUCAAUGGACGCAAGUCUGAACCAGCCAUGCCGCGUGCAGGAAGACGGUCCUAUGGAUUGUAAACUGCUUUUGUACGGGAAGAAACACUCCUGCGUGUAGGAGCCUGACGGUACCGUAAGAAUAAGGAUCGGCUAACUCCGUGCCAGCAGCCGCGGUAAAAC
rnacentral:rRNA from 1 species